rnacentral:rRNA from 1 species
GAUGAACGCUAGCUACAGGCUUAACACAUGCAAGUCGAGGGACCGGCGCACGGGUGAGUAACACGUAUCCAACCUGCCCUUUACUCGGGGCUAGCCUUUCGAAAGCAAGAUUAAUACCCGAUAUAAAGGAUGGGGAUGCGUUCCAUUAGGUUGUUGGUGAGGUAACGGCUCACCAAGCCUUCGAUGGAUAGGGGUUCUGAGAGGAAGGUCCCCAGCAUUGGAACUGAGACACGGUCCAAACGCCUAGGGGAGGCAGCGGUGAGGAAGAUUGGUAAAUGGUCGGUAGCCUGAACCAACCAAGUAGCGUGAAGAAUGAAGGGUUAUGGAUCGUAAACUUCUUUUAGAUAAGAAUAUGUAUUAUAUGAAAAAGGAUCGGCUAACUCCGUGCCAGCAGCCGCGGUAAUAC